AAAUAUCAAAAUUAUAUUUUUUGAUUAUUUGACCAGUUUUUUCUUUUCUUUAAAAUGAAAUGAAAUUCGAAUUCUAAUUGAAUGACUGACAAAAAUCAAUAUCAUCGAUUGCUUAAUGUCGAAUCAGUUAAAAGGGUUUCGCAUAAAAUCUCGUGCUGUGCUAUGACAAAUGAAUUGUGUUUAUUGGCCUUCAUCUCACUGAACAAUUGUUCUUAAAGAAACAGAUACAGAUUCAAUUUAAUUUGAACUCGUUGAGUUUACAACAGCAAACAGAUUCAAUUUUCAAUUACAAACUGGGGCUGGAGGAAGCCUGAAAUUGAAAUCUCAACAAUUGGGGGGCGCCGAACCUUUCUCGCAAAGCUUGUUGUAAUCUUCAAGCUCUUCGUAAUACACGUCCCACACACAUCGAACACAUCCACUCCCACAACAAUCCCCCGGCAACGGCUUCUCCGGCGGCGGUGGCAAUUUCACCAUCUCCUCUUUCUCUUUCUCUUUCUCUGCUUUCUCCUCCUCCACGCCUUUCUUCUUCGAAUCAACUGAUGAUUGCAUUUCUCUGGUUCCCUCGCUAGCCAUGAUCGAAUUAGGGUAAAUUCUUGACGAUUGGAAAUUGGGAAUUAUUUUGGUAGGGACUCGUCUCAUAGCCCAGGGAAGAAAUGGCCGCACAUACUCUGGCCUUAAUCGGCGAAGACAAUUCGAAUUAUGAUUCGAUAAAGAUGACAGAAAAAGGUAAUUGGGAGCAAAAUUUAGGUCGAUCAAUUUCAUAAAAUAGAUCGCCCCCGACAGCCAAUUGUAGCUACUUGUCGUCGGAAGGGUCAAACUUGUUCAAAAUUGGGUGCCCUAAUUAUCGUCGCUCCAAAACCGACGACACGGCGCCGCCAUGGGCUUUAAUUGGGCCACUGGCCCAAUUAACAAUUUCCAGCCCAAAUCCAAAGGAAAUUGCUCAGAAAAAGUGUAAAUACAUAUUUUAAAAAUGAAAUGGAAGAUUGCAAAUUGACAUUAUUCUUUAUUGUAUUAUUAUUAUUAUUUUGCAAAUUGACAUUUUGUAUCGUAUUAGAUUUUGAUCACAUGAUGUUUGUGACAUACGAGGUUUCGAUAGUAUGGGCUAAGUCAUGCAUCGGAAGGAAACCAUGUUUUUUUUUUCGGUUGUCUUGUCUUAUUCAAUUUUCUAUAUGUUUAUACCUCACUUUUCAUUACUUCCAAAAAACAAAUGAGAAAUAAAAAGACGAUUUUUCCAUUAUAUUAUAUAUUUCUAUUCUAAUUGUUUCUUACCAAGGACUAAUGGUGAAAAAGUCAUCAGUGUGCAUACAACACCAGUCUUUUGUUUUUACAGGGGAUAUUCUAACACACACACACACUCGUGUAUGUACACUGACGAUGGUAGAAGGAGAUUUGGCAGUGUUUUUGUUAUCUUUGCUUUGCUUUGUCUCAAACCCAUAAUCUAUAGGCAGUAAAAUGAAAUAAAGAAAGAAGUAAAUAAGGGGGCUCUUAGUAGUUUCUAAAGAUAAGAAUUAAAUGGAUAAAAAAUAAAGAAUGGAAUAAAGGAGGUUGAUAACUAUAACGGUCUUGAAGCAUAUAAUAAAUGCACACACACUGGAGACCCAAUUGAAGCGUGUACAUUAGGGGGGAUCACAAGACAAUGGUGAACGACUCCUUACUCUUCCACUACGCCACUCGAUGAUCCAUCACAUUCCACAUUUUUCCAUUUAAACCCACUAGAUUCCCCCCCCUGCCUCAAUCCAUCAAACUCCCUGCCAAUUGCCAAAACCACUCCUUAAAAUAUAUUUAACUCCAUAUCCAUUUCUUUUUCUUUUUUUUACCUUUACCGCUUUUGAUCAGCCAUCACAAGCAAGUUCUAUAUAAUAACUUCUUCUCCCCUCCACCUUCCCAUUCUCCUAAACCAAUGGAAUUCUCUCUUCAUUUCUUCUUCCUCUUUCUUUUUUCAUCUCUCUUCUUUCGGUUCUCUGAUUCAUGUCAUCCCACUGACAAACAAGCACUUCUCCACUUCAAAGCCAAAAUCACUUUUGACCCAUCUCAGCUACUCCUUUCUUGGAAAUCUACCACUGACUGCUGCUCCUCCUGGGACGGCGUCGCCUGUGAUUCCUCCGGCAGAGUCACCAAUCUCACCCGCCCUGGGAUUGUCUCCGGCACUGACUUCAUCGCUGAUACUUUUAUGUCUGGUUCUCUCUCCCCUUUUCUUGGAAACUUGUCGUCUCUUCAAUUUCUUGACCUUAGUAAUCUCAAAGAUAUCAACGGUCGAAUUCCCUUGGAAUUUGGCAAGUUAUCACGACUCACUCAUUUGUUUCUCGAUUCCAAUAAACUCGUGGGUUCCAUUCCUAGAACUUUUGGGUGUCUUUUUCGAUUGGAAAAACUCUAUCUUGGCAAUAAUUUGCUCUCUGGAAUCAUCCCUCCUUCAACUUUUACCCAUUUCAAGUGUCUUGAAGAAUUGGGUCUUUCCGGAAAUAGACUAUCUGGGUCGAUUCCUAGUUCAAUUGGGAAGCUAAUCCAGGUGAAAAAUCUCGAUCUCCAUGCCAACAAUUUCUCAGGAAGCAUUCCUAUGAGUAUUGGUAAACUUAAAAGUCUCAAGUAUCUCGAUUUGUCUGAAAACGAAAUAACAGGGAGCAUUCCAAAUUCGAUUGGUGAACUCUCUGAGUUGGUAUUGCUUUACCUUAAUCAGAACAAGAUUACCGGAAGUAUUCCCCCUUCGAUUGCCGGACUAGGUUCUCUGAUAUUCUGCCGUUUGUCGGAAAAUAGGCUUAGUGGUCGGUUACCGGCGUCCAUCGGUAAGCUUCAAAAGAUACAGAGACUGAUUCUUGAGAACAACAAGCUUACUGGGAAAUUGCCUUCUUCUAUUGGCCGUUUAACAACGUUAACCGAUUUGUUCUUCUCUAACAAUCUUUUUACUGGCAAGAUUCCCAAGACAUUUGGAAAUUUAGAAAACCUUCAAACUUUAGAAUUGUCGAGAAAUUUGCUUUCUGGUGGGAUUCCUCAUCAGUUAUCUAAAUUGCAGAGACUACAGAGCCUGGAUCUUUCCUUUAAUCCUCUUGAGUUGCGAAGCAUACCAAAUUGGUUUGCAAAGAUGAAAAUUUUUAGGCUAUUCUUAGCUAAAACAGGGAUUGAAGGGAAGCUUCCAAAAUGGUUGUCUUCAUCCUCAAUAUCGGUUCUUGAUUUAUCGAGCAAUGGAUUAACAGGGCCGUUGCCUCAUUGGAUUGGAAAUAUGACAAAUCUUUCAUUCCUCAACCUUUCAAAUAACGGAUUUCAUUCAUCAAUCCCAGCUGAAUUCAAAAACCUUUUGCUGUUAAUGGAUCUUGAUCUUCACUCCAACCACUUUACAGGGUGCCUUGACAACAUAUUUUCAAAAGGGGUUCAAGACCCACUAGGCCAUUUCAAUUCCAUUGAUGUUUCUGGGAAUCACUUCAGUGGUUGUGUUGAUCAGAAUAUUGGAGACAGAGCAGCAAUGUCUUCAAUCAAAUCACUUGUUUUAUCAAACAAUAAAUUGGAAGGAUAUAUCCCCAAGUCGUUGUCGAAACUCAUCGAAUUGCAGGUGCUGGAGCUGGCUGAUAACCGGAUUUCCGGUGAAAUUCCGGCAGAGCUGGGAGAGGCGGCAGAAUUAACCACGAUUUUGCUUUCGAAGAAUAAGCUAUGUGGGACGAUUCCGAAAGAGGUGUUGAAUUUGAAGAAGCUUUGGAAAUUCGACGUGUCGGAAAACAGACUUUGUGGGAAAAUUCCACCGCAUAAAGCACAUUUCCCAGUCUCUUCAUUCAAACAUAACCGUGGACUUUGUGGAACUCCUCUUCCCCCUUGCAACCAUUCUUAGUGUUCUUUUAGUUUCCUUUAGAUGAUCAAAAUUGUUUUAUUCUUUUGUUGUUUAUUUAUUUGUUUUUCUUUCAAAUUUCAUUCCUAUUGUAUUUUGAUCUGUUUAGCAUUGAACCGCUUCUUCAAAAUUUCGUCAUUAACUUGUCACUUGUCAGGUAUGCCAUGAAUACAAAAGAGAGUUGAAUGGGGCCUAACAAACUGAACUUUUUGUCAUCUUUUUACUGAACCUUUUGUACUAGUUUUUUGGGUGGUUGUGUAGAUUCCAAAUUUAUAGAAAAUGACAGAAGGAAAAAAGGACACUUACUUUUUCAAUAUUUAAAUAAAUUUCGACUUCACCAAAAUCAUCUCAACGGCUACUUCUCCUUCCGUAUACUUCUGUCUGUUUCCCUUUCAAAUCAGCAUCUUCUAUUCCCUUCGCCGCACCCCAUGACUACAAAAUCUAACUCUCUUUUUCCCAAUCAAAAUUACUCACUUACUUCCAUUCUAUGGUUAAAAUAUCUCCCCAGGGUGUAACAGUACAUCAUCUCUUUUAUGAUUAUAAUCACACUGUAUACAAAUUUCUUUACUUUAUUAACAACUUAAAUUAUAAUAAAAAGUCCAGGAAAACAAAAUCAUCCUUUCGUUUUUGUUUUUAUAUGUUUUCUAAUCUAAAAUAUCUCCAACAAGGAGAGACAAGACGAUGUAUCAUUGAUUAUCAAUUCGUAAUGUUUUUCUUAUGUUGAUUCUGAAAACUUUAGUUACAUUCUCGACAUAACUAAAUGUAAAGAAUUGUGUUGAUUUACGGUGUAUUUGUGUAAAAUUAAAAAAGUGACUAGUGCCACAAAAAAACAUGUUACGAAUCAAUUUUGAGGUUAAAACAAAUGGAAAAUUAAACACAACCCACGGUUUUACAAAUAACUUCUUUUUAAAGUUAGACUUGCAGUUUGAGAUAUCUAUACUAUUUUAUUUUUUGUUAGUCUCCUGUUGACAACAAAUAUGUUUAAUCAUGAGAAAACUAAAUAGUGUUAAUUAUUUGUUUGCUUGCUUUAGGCGUUGAUAUUAAAUUAGAUGUAUUAAUGGAACAAUCGGUAGACCAUACUCAAAAUAUCUACUAAUAUAAUACAAUGUAAACGAAUUAGUAAUUAUAAAAAAGUAUUUAGAAUUAGUUUUCGAAGGACGUUAGUGAUACGUAGACCAUAUUGCUCAACAUUUUUCUUGUAGUUAUUAUAUACUUAAUUAUUGACCCAAAAUAGUAACACUUGCAAUUAUCAAUAUUAAUUAGCUGCAAAAUUAAAAUGGAUGGGCAAAGCAAAAUUGGAGUCCAGAUAAAUGUGGAAAGAGCACAUUGAUUAUAUUCAUUUAUUAAUUAUAUUCUACAUGGUUUAAAAAACCAAACCAUAAUCUAAAUGUUUUUGGAACUUGGAAUUUGUUUUUGGAUCUUUUUAUAUAAGAAAUUCCAUUGGAAUGAGUAAAUACUAGAAGAAAACAUCAAAUUGGCUCACUAAAAACGCUUUCAAAAUUAAAAAACUUACAAAACACUUUGUUUGAGUCCAUUUUUAACAUUAGUUACAAUAUUGGUUUUUAUAUGUACUUUGAAAUUUCUUUCAUUAUUGUACUUUUAAAUGUCUAAUUUUAGUUAAUAUGAUAGUCCAAUUAUUGUACUUUUAAAUGUCUAGUUUUAGUUGAUAUGAUAGUCCAUAUACUUUGUUGUAGUUUUUUUCAUUACUUUUUAUUUUUAUUAAUAUUUGACUAUAAAUUUUAAAAAUAUAUUUACAUAUUGUGUUAUUUGAAUAAAAUUAUUGUGAUUAUUUAAUCCAGUUUCAAUAAGUUUUGUAUAGAGAGACUAAAUUUAAGAUUUAGUUAGAAUACAAAACUAAAAUUGAAUACUUAAAGAUACAAUAACAAAAAAAAAUUGAACAAACUUAAAAGUAAUAUUUUAAACUUAAUGUAUAUUAUGGCAACUCUUUGUAAACUUUAUAAAAAAAAUAAAGGGUAACAAAUUUUAUGUUUUAGUAACGAAUCUGAUGUUUUAGUGGUUUUAUCGAGUGUAAAGAAUUGAUUAAUUAAUUAAUUAUUAUUAUUAUUUAAAAAAAGAAGGUUUGUACUAAUUUAAUAAUAAUUUGGUUUUUAUAGUUUGAUUUUGAUUUAUGUUGGUUUUGUAUGUAUAAGUAAAAUGCAAUAGUAAUUUUUAAAAAAGAAAAAGGAGAAAAGAGUAUUUUUGAAAAAGUAUAAGAUGAAUGCAUAUUGAGAUGUAAAAAUAAAAAGAUGGGUAUUGGGUUUAUCUCUUUAAGAAGAAAAAAAAAAAGCGUUGAAAAUAUAGAAGUUAAAAUGAAGAUUUGGAAAAUGAGAGUGUGCAUGGGAUGGGACCAAACCAACCAAAUAAUAGUAUUUAGGGUUUCAAAAGAAAGAAAGAAAAAAGAAGAAACGAAAAGAAAACGGAAAGAAUGGGAAAAAGAGAAACGGGCAGUUUCAGACUACAGGUCAAGGGCACCUUUGGUUUCCUUCAUUCAAUGUAUUACACUUUUAAACCUAUAUCCCCCAUUUCUCUUUUUUCUUUCCUACGUUUCUCAAUGUAUCCACUUCCCCAACUCCAUUUCUGAAACACCCCUUGGCCCUUUCUUUCUUUCUUUCUUUCUUUCUUUCUUUUCUCUCAGUUUUGAAUGCAUGGACAUCGAGUCUGCUUUCAAAUCCACCCCCAAACUUCUUUUCGAUGACUUUUGGUCUUCCAAUCUUCAAAACGCUUCAUCCCCAUCUUCCGACCACAUUUUCGUAGAUCAAUUCCUCAACUUUUCAGAUGAAGAACAGCAAGAAGAUGAAGAAAAAAACAACCAUUCCUCCGUUUCUCCUCCCCUUCAACUUCAACAAGUACAUCACGACACCGACCAAAAUUCCAACCACAGCUCCACCAAUUCCUCCGAAGAUGACUUUUGGUCUAUUACUUCAACAGAUUUUGAAGACCUUGACUGGCUCUCUCAUCUCGUUGCCGAUUCCACCCAAGAAGAAUACUCUGCCCCAACUCCCUCUGUUUUCUUGACACACAAACCUAGAAAUCCCCUUCCCAAUUUUCAUUCUUAUCUCAACACCCCAUUUCCUUCAAAACCCAGAACCAAGCGACCAAAGAUCUCCGCCCGAGUCUGGUCUUUAACGAAUUUAAUUCCAUCCCCGCUGCCGGCGAAGAAAUCAAAGAAGAAUCAUACAGACGAGGGCUCCGGGCGGGUCCAGGCGGGGCGCCGGUGCAGUCAUUGUGGCGUUCAAAAAACCCCCCAAUGGCGAGCCGGCCCACUUGGAGCAAAGAGUCUAUGUAAUGCAUGCGGUGUCCGGUUCAAAUCCGGACGGCUUUUUCCCGAAUAUAGACCGGCUUGUAGCCCGACGUUUUCGAACGAGCUUCACUCGAACCACCACCGGAAAGUACUGGAGAUGCGACGUAAAAAGGAAAGAGAGAGACCCCAGUCCGGCAUGGACUUAGUGUAAAAGGAACCCGGUUCAGAUAAAAAGGCAAUUAAGUUUUAGUGUAAAAAUGUCAUUUUCAGGGAGCCUUAUUAGGUGCGGUAGGUCAUCGGCACUUCUUUGUUGUUAUCAAUUUAAUUAGAAUACCUUUUAUUUAAUAUAUUUAAUUUAUCCGUUUCUUUUUGUUGAAAAUUGAUAUUAAUUCUGUAAAAAGAAAAGAAAAGAAAAGAAAAGGCGUUUUUUUUUUUUUUCCUUCCCCUCUCUGAAAAAGCAAGAAAGAUGAUAUUGCGUAAGUUUUACGUGUUGUGAGAGUAGUGAAGUUUGUGGAAUCUUGAAAUGGAACAUUUUGAGAAGGGGAGGAGUUGUCUACUUCGUUAUUUGGAAAAACAGAAGUAUAGGAUACUUUUAACGCCGUUUUAAACUCGGUACCUACUGCCACUCACUUUUCAUUUAACACUACACCCCUCCACUUUUUACCUUACUAAUAUAAUCUACUUUUUCUUCAUGUUUAUCUCUUUCUUUCACAUUAACCUCCCUCCUCAUUUGCCUACACAUUCCCCAUCCUAAUUUCUCCCAUUCAUUUGGUCAAGGUUUCAAAUCUAAAGAAAUUUAAAAAAGAAAGAAUGAAUUGAUGAAAUGAAGGAGAAGGAAGAAGGAAGAAGAUGCGUGUCACCCACUACUACACCUAAGCAAUUUGAUAGGCGGGCCCCACUCAGUUUAUUAAGAAGAAAAAUAACCUUUUCUUCUUUUUCUUAAUUUUUUGAACUGUGGUCCUCCAAAUUACUAUUAUUUACUCUUUUUCCCCUUCCAAUCAUCUAUCAUCAUCACGUGAUGCCCCCCAUCCCCAUCCCCAUCCCCAUCCCUUUCUUUUUUUUUUUCUUCUAACUACUCUCCAACCUCUCUCUCUCUCUCUAUAUGUAUAAAUAUUCAAUAUUCUUUUCCCUCUUUAUAUUAUAUAAAAUAAGAAAUAAUAAUUCAAACUACUUAUCUUUCAUAUAUUUUUUCUAUAACAAAAACGUUUUACCUUUAUCCUGUUCAUAAAUUACCCAAGUAGAAGUUGAUUAUUACCUUAGUAAUACAUUAAAUUUUUUGAAUUAAUUGAUAAUUUAAUAGACGGUGCAUAAUUACAAGAAUCUAUUAAAUGAAGCAACAAAAAUUAUAUUUUCUUUAUCAUCAACCAAAUAAAAUGUUCUGGGUUGUUACACAACCAUGGCACAAGAGCAGAAAUACCACUCAUAAUUUCUACAAUGCAAAAUUAAAUGACUACUUAGUUAUUUUUCAAGGAAUUAAUAGUUAAGCAAAAUGUGAAUUUGUAAGAAGUACAUUAUGUUAUAUUAUGGAUCUGAUUUACUUUCUUAGAUAAAUCUCCAUACUUCUUUUCUUUUUAGUUUGAGGGACCUUCUCUCCUACCCAAUGCUUUUCCAUGACCGUGACCGCCGCUGCCGCCCCCGCCACAUCCCCAAAUCCAACAAAACCCUCUGCUCCCUCCUCCCCAAAACCCCAUCCUCCACCACUUCCUCCCCCUCCUCCUCCGCCACCACCACUUCCUCCUCCUCCUCCACCACCACCUCCUCCCCCUCCUCCCCCUCCGCCGCCACCACCACCUCCACUACCUCCUCCCCAUCCAUACCCUUUCCCAUUUCCCCUCCCCCUCCACCUCCACCACCUCCGCCCGCGCCGCCUCCACCUCCACCGCCACCAUUGCCCCCACCCCCUCCCCACCACCACCAUUUCCGCUUUUUCCAUGCUUCUUAUUAUGUUUUGUAUCUUUCUUUCUCACCCCAACAUCACUUCCCCCUCCUCCACCACCACCUCCGUGGCCCUCACCCGAUGAAUUCCGCCCACCCUUGCCGCCACUAAUAGUCAUAUUUCUUCCCCUUAGGCUUUCAUUCAAAUCAGACCAUCCAUUGGAUGUACUACCAACACUCUCGUUUAUUUUAAAACUCUUCACCUCUUUCCCCUCAACCAAGUAAAUGCUGAUCAACACAAUUCCAAGAAACAAAAGAACCCCACUUCCCCUUUCGCUCUUCAUUCUGAUUUAUCUGUUUCAAAAUUCAAACUUGGAUGGAUGAUUCAAUUUUCUUCUCCUCCCCACUGAUCUCUUUUAUACCCUUUCUACCUCCAUUUCCAAUUUCGUAACCAAACCAAACUGUCCCCACCUCAACUCACCCAUCAACCUACUAAACCCUCUCAAAGCCUACAACCUUACAUUAAAACAAAUGAUACUUCUGAAUCUUGUUUUUGUCCAUGGCUGGGAAAAUAAUGAUACUAACACCCAUUUUCUUUUUUAAUUCAAUAAUUAAACAUCCAUUUUCCAUAACCAUACUCCCAAAGCAAGAUUCUUCAAGAUUAUUAUUUGAUCAAUUUUAAAUGAUGUGCGAUUAGUUUGAAGUGUCAUUUUUGGAUGUACACUACCAAAAAUUCAACUAACUUUUAAGUGGGACAACACUAGACUCUCAUAAAUUAUGAAGAAAAAAAAAAGGUGGUUUCUUUUGCUUAACGAAUUAGAAUGGGAUGGGAAAAUGAAAGCACAGUGGUUUCCACGUGACGAAAUAAUAAAUUUAGAGACUCUAAAGUGGAAGAGAAGGGCCAAGCCAACAGCAUUUCGAUGGCAGUGCUCGAAUUCGUUAAUGCUUCAAAGUGGAUUCCACAACAAGAUAUUAUGAUGAAAAUUAUGUGUGUAUGCAUUCUUAAUCUCAAGUUGAAUAUAUUCAUAUACAUUUUAUAUUUUUGUCGUAUUUAAUUGAAUUGAUGCAUUAGGAAGGCAACAUUAAAUGGGUUCUGGCUGUGUUGUACCAGAGCAUUACUAUAAUUAUAAUUAUAUAUGUACAUAUAUUAAUUAUUUUCUAUAAAAACCAAAAACAUUCCCAUUUCUUCAAGCUUAUGUUUUUCUGUUUAUGUCUUGGCCAUUUCUACCUUGUAUGUAAAGUGAGGGACUUUUGUUGAUUUGCAAGGCAAGUAUGGCAAUUUGUUGCACUUCAUAAUGUUGAAGGGUAUCUUUUAGUUGUCUCUACUUCACCAUGGUUCUCCAAGUGGUGCAUUGCUAUUAUUUUCUUUCCAAUUUUAUUAAAAUAAUAAUAAUAGUGCUCUCAAUUGAUAAUUUAUAAGUGGAGCUUUGAAGUUGGAAGUUUAAUAAUCCUGUCCUAAUUCUUUGAUAACGAACAGAAAACUAGUAAAAGGUUGAAAACUGUAGUCCUAAAAUCGUAGAGCAAGUCCAAAACAUGCUUUGAUUGUGUGACGAUGUAAACUCAAAAAACAAUGCCUCACCAUAGUCGAAAGAGAGCAUUGAACAUGAGACUCUAAAUCAUUCAUCAAUGAUUUCUCUAAGCAACCCGAAUAAGAUUUUCUAAAUAAAAUCAGCAACUGUCUUUUCCAUAUAUCUUCUUGAAAACUAAAAUUCAUACCAAUUUCCCCACCUCCAAAAUAACCAAAAUUCUUAGUAAAGAAUUUACCCAAAAUCAACUCCUCCCUGCCUGUAUCUUCAACCCCACAAUUUCAUUCUCUUAGCACCACGAGUCUCCAAUAUGUGGUUAAUACGCAUGUUUUGUGACAUAUCAUGUUUGUAUUGGCAAUUAACACCAUUUCGACAUCCUUUUGGACUGUUAAAGUAAAUGCAAUAUUUCUGAUUCUUGGCUUUUAAAUGUUCUGCUUUCAUCUCGUGCACCAUAUUAAGAUUAUAUUCGUUCUGAUUAUUACCAUUUAAUCCAAUUUUCUGUUCCUUACCAUCCUUCUGAUCUCCACCAUGUUGUCUUACCAAGUUCUUAUAAUAGUUAGCAUCCUUCACUAUCUGACCUUUUUUCACCAUAUUUACCUGUGCUAUGUCCACUUGGCUAGAGACUGCACCAGUUCUAGAAUAGUUACCAACAUUCGACAUAGUGGUUUUUACCUUCUGGGGUUCAGGUGCGAGAGAGUGGCCUGGGACUGAGUCUGCCUUUACAUUAGAUGCUGCAAUGUUAGUCACCUGAGGAAGUGUAGUUUCUGAAGAUAGAUCUCUAUUCGACACACCCGAUAAGUUUCCGUUUGAGAGCUUUGGUAUAGUAUUGGAUUCUGGAAUAGACAAGGAAAUCGAACUGGUCGCUGGAUUUGACAUGGAUAUUGGAGCAGCAGGUGCAGUGGGUGGACUAUUAGAGACUAAUUCAAAUAGAGGAAGAGUGUUAGUCAAAUUCUGAAUCAUUGUUGGAUCACUGAAAAUCUUAAUAAGCAAGUUGGUGUCGAUCAAGCUUCCCUGCUCCUUGCUUUUCAUUAAAACAGCAAAUGCAGCAGAGGCUGCAGCUACCACGUCCACACCAACAUCAACUAGCUUUUCAGACGGCUUUUCCCCUGCUGCUACUGAUGAUGUUUCAAUGGAACUUUUUGGGAUUGCAGGAUCCAACUGAACAUUGGAACUAGCCAUCAUCUGCUUAGAGUUCGUUGAGAAGUUUCCAACGGGACCUGAAUCUAACUUCAUAACCCCACAUUCAUCUUCUUCAAUAGGAAUGAUUGGGACAAGAGGAGUGAGGCUAUCAUUGUAAGUUUCACUUUCAAUCUCUGUAGAAACACUCGCACUAUACAGGAAAAGACAAGGAGAUAUGAGAAAUUAUUGGACAAGCCGAAGUUCAAAACAUUUAAGCUUUCAAACUGGCCUCAAAAUCAUGAGUUAGUUUAAAAUUAUUACCCAGUAGGGAUAUCAGAAGCCCGGGGAUAAAUUGCCUCCAGCAAUCUCAUUUCCCUAAAAUUUUGAGUUUUUAUCUCCGUACUUUCAUCUCCUGCUGUCACACGCCAGUGGCAACUCAUAACAAACUGUUGAGAAAGAAAUGGUAUUGUAGUUCGACAGAUGGGACAAAGAUAUAAAAGGACAAAUGUUAAUGGAGAAAACACCAGAGAGAACAUAUAAAACUAAUUGGUAUUUGAUGAGGAGAGGUGUCUAAUAGUGCUAGCUAACCUUGGGAGGACAAUUCCACUUAAUCAAAGGAAUGCCAGAAAUAUCUACUAAUUGGUUUCUCAAGUGAGUAAUAUUGAAUCCAGGAGGACAAUUAGGUUCUUUAGUAUGGGCAGGCAACAUCCAGGAGGUUUUUGCUUGGAGAUGUUCACAAGAUUUCAGCCCAACUUUUGAUGGGCAUUCCUCUGACGAGAAUAACUUCACCUAUUUAAAAGACGCAAGCAUAUUUAUUCACCAUAAAAUGAUAUCGCAGAACAUAAAUUUGCAUUAAAGAACAGGCCACAGGGAGAGAACCACCGAAGAUAAAGAUUCUUUCAACCACAUUGGAAGAUUUGACAACAACGAAACCGAUCAAGCUAUUGAGUUUCAAUUACAAACAUCAUCUGGUCAAUAAUAUGCAAUAUCAAAUUAUCACUAAAAUAUACUUCAAAUCAAUCUGCCCUGUGUGCACCCAUUAAGAAGUUGCCUUCAAAUAAGGGGCAUACUCAUAACCGAGUACCCCGAGAUUCUCAGUAAGACAAACAAGACAUGACCAAAGGCAUUUACAGAAAAAAUAAAUAAUAGAAGAUAUCAUAUAUGCUCUUAAAAUGGGAAAAACAGGCAUUUAGCCAAUGUGACAUUUCAGGAGAUACCUAUACAGUUUCAGGGAGUUAAAAAAAAGAAAGAAAUUAGGACAAACAAAAAUUUUCUGGAAAGGCAUUUAUAAAUGGCAAGAAGUAGGAUCGAUCACCAUCAAUUUGCUAAAACAUGCUACAGUUAAACAUUAUUCCAUAGAUUUUUACAUCUAGCAUGCUUUUAGUCUUGCAAGAAAAGGGAUUUUUUUUAGAAAUCUAGUAUUCACUAUUCGAAAUUGAAUAAAUAAUAAUACCCAAGAAUGUUGGUUGUUACUCUUAAAUGGCUAUCACUGGUAUUGGUAUUUUCACACAACCACAAUUAGUGUCGCCCUUGGAAGUUCUUGAAGAUGUAUAUAAUACUUCUUCAUUUUUUAGUUUUCACCACCCAAAAAGAAUCCUUAUCCUCUACGGGAAUAGAGCGUUCAAGAACUGCUAUUAUGGACCAUAAAAUUGGCGUGGUUGGGUUCCCCUUCUAUAUAAUUUUUUUUGGUCAAGCAAAUUAAUUUUUUUCAUUUUUUUUUCUCUUUUAAAGUAAAAAAGCAUAAUGUAUUUAGAGUAAUAUUUUCUGCCUUGCACAUCGUCGUUUAGAUCAGGACCUCAUUCGAUAGAAACUCUGCUGUACAUCAUAUAUUUUACCUUCAAUUUUCAGAGAUUCAUAAAUUUCUUGUAGUGAUAUUGGUCUUUAGAAUCAAAGAACAUUUCUAAAAUCGUUCGAAUGGACUGCAUUUAACUCAGUUCUGCAUAGCUGCGAUAAUGUUUUCCAUCUAGCCCGGUGGUUUGCUCGCACGGCAAGAUUAAUGUUUUUAAUUACAGAUUUUAUUACUUAAUCCCAAAUUUGGCUAACUUUUUGUGUUCUCAAGAUAAAAAAUUCAAGUAGCAACAAAAUGUCGUUAAUCCCUCGGUCCCAAAGAAAAGCGAUGUAAAUCAAUCAAUACUAUAAAUUUCAUAGAAAAGGAAAAUCAUCAACUAUAAGCAGCUUUUGUUUUUCCAUUGUGGUUUUCUGAUUUUUCACCAAACAAAUUGAGAUGACGAGGUCGAGACCAUUAAUAAGCUAACUAAUCUAGUAAACUAGAAACCCUAUGUAUCCAACGAAAGUUGUGAUUAGAAAAUGUUAACGAUUAUACCUGACAAAGAUUAAGAUCGUGAGGCCACGAAACACACUUGGAUUUCCUCGACCGCUUCAUCUCUAAAUCUCAGAUCAAAAAGGAGUGAAGUUUGAGAGUAAAAGCAUAAAGCAAGCGAAACAAACAACCAAUGGAAGAAGAUUUAAUAAAAUGUAAAAAGAAAAGGCCGAUCCGAUUUUAGAAUAGAAAAACACAGAAUGGGGAAAGAGGGAAAGAGGGAAAGAAAGAGGCGACGGAGGAGAAGUUGGAAGAAAACCCUAGAAAGGAGUGGGUAAUGGCGGUUGAGUGAGGUGUGUAGGAGUGGGGUAUUUUGGGAGUGAACGUGACGGCGGGAAUGCAAAAUGGAUAUUAUAAGGACGGCGUUUUGUGAGAAAGAAGCUGAAACGGAGGGAAGAAUAUCAUACGAAACAACGUUGAUUGCUAAAGUGGCGGCGAUUCGAAACCAAAUUAAAUGUAAAUCAACACUUUUAAUUAUAGGUUAAAUCAAGAUUCGUAUCAAUUAUUUACGGCCAAAUUUCAUACAUUUUAAUUUUAUAUUUCACUACAUUAAUAAUUCAGUUUGUAUAAAACUAAUUAUAAUAUAUAAGCAAUAUUCAUAUAUUAUUAUCUUAUUUUGAAUCUAAUACCUAUAUUUGGUAGAAUAUAUCAUCUUAAACACUGAAACCAUGGAACUAUUAUUUUAUCCAAAUGUUGGGCCGGAUCCAACGCAUCAAUAUUGGAAGACAAGCAUGUUUUACGAGCCCAGGGUAGUAGGAGUUCAAUGGGCUCACUAAAUUGGACAAACUCAUUUUUUCCUCGAGCCCAAUAACUCAAAUUAAAAAAUCGGCCCGUUGCAAAUCCACCGCUCAGUGAUAUGCCGACGUUAUGCAAUAAGUGAAGUAAAAAACAAAGCCAAUAUCGUCGUCCGCCGGUGGCCGCCAUUGUAGACUCAGAAGUCUCCACCUCAUACAUAGAUGGCCCAAAACACUCGGAAUGCUAUCGAACUCAAGAUAUCAUCGCCUACUCAAAAGUAAAAAAAACUCACAUGUAAUGUAAUGCUAUAGGUUCUUCAGUAUCUCCCUUUCAAAAAGAAAAGAUUGUAUUAUACACCUAUGAAAAUAAAAAUAUUAUAUAUGUGUGUGAAAUAUUGUAUGGAAAAACGUUUAUAUCACCUUCAUUUGGGUACCUUUCAUGGUGACAUGAAUAUCCUUUUGAAAAUAUGGUGGAGAUGUCAGAUGAGUACAAUUAUUAAAAGAAGUUGAGCAUUUAUUGUAAAAUAUAACAAGGGUAGGGUUCCUUGUUUGUCAAUCCUAGCUCUGUAGCUAACAAUAGAUUUCUGGUUUCAAAAUUUCAACAAGUAGGAAACAAAAUAAAAGAAUCAAAGUUCUUCAAAUCCAUUUUGAAAAUUAAUGUAGAUCAGGAGAUAAGAGAAAAUGGGAAAUUAAUUAUGAAGUAAAGCUCCAAUGAAAAGCCAGAAUUAGAAAUUGGAAGUAGGAGAAUUGACAACUUCCCACCACUUAAUAUGUGGGUAUAGAGUGGACACGCCAUUCAAAUAUUAAACCCUAGUUGAGCACCAUAUAUAUUUUCUUUUUUGUUCUAUCCUCAUAAAUUUGUCUUAAUAAUUAUCAUCACAUAAAUGGUGAGAGAGAGUAGAACAAUCUGUUCAUAAUCAUAUCAAAUUGGAUUUACAUUAAUCAACUAUAUCACUAUGUUACAUCUUUAAGUCAAAUUACAAGUUUAAUCUCUAACUUUUAAGUUUUAUGUUAAUGUCAACAAAAACUGAACUUUGAAACUCUAAAUCCCAAAUAUGAGAAUUGAUAUAAUAAACUCUUGUCCUUUUUAGCAUUCUACAGAGUUCGGGAGAGUUCCCUCAUGAAUUCACAUCCAAAUCUUUAUCUAUUUAACAACAAUUACUAGUAUAUUUAUUCUAUUGUAUAUAAACCUAACUAUUCAAUCAGUCACUAUGGUGACAAUUCCCCCUCCCCCCAUAUAUUUUUUUCAAAAUAUUUUCCUUUGGAUCCAUAUUAUUCCUUUGACAAUUGUGAUUUAAAAAGUGGAAUGCACAAAUUUUGGUGCAUUUUAAUCUUUUUUUUACGUAGUUACUUUGAUUUCUUAUUUUCUUCUCUUUUCUUGCUCGCUAUUUGACAUCUUAUGUAAAAAUUUUAAAUUCUUAUUAGUGAUAAAUUUAUUAAUCAAACUAUAAAUUAAUAGUAAAUUUUUUUGUUAAGUUGCUCUAAACGUGUUUUAAGUAGUAAUUAAAUACACUAAUAAUAAAUGUACAAGUCCAAGACCUUUCUUUUAGUAAAACAAAGUAACUUCACGGGUGUUUAGGUUCAAAUGUUUUGUAUUCAAACACUUUGAGAAAUAUGACACAACUCGUUGCUUACUUUGGUUUCCAUUAUAAAAAGAAUAAGAAUAAAAAAAAAACAGUAAAAUUUUAUGAAUAUAAAGACUAUAUAGUCUAUAGCACAAAAACGUAUAUUUUAGAUAUUCAUAUUUAAGGUAAAAAUGUUGAAUUAUAUGUGUGGCAUAAGUUUGCAUAUGUUAAAUUUUUACGUAAUUCCAAUACUAUUUUGACUUAUUUAACAUUUUGGCAAGGAUCUUACUCCUAUUGGUCAUACUAUAUGACAAAUAAACAUAUAAAUUAAAUGUUUCCCAUUGAAAAUAAGGACUACAUAAAUAGGAAAAUAGUGUAUUUGACAUUAGUGCAAAGAAAAAUUCAAAAACAAACCUGUAGGUAAGAUAUAAUAGAAUUAAAAAAGUUAGAGGAGGCACUAAAUUUGAGGAUGAAGCAACUGUUUCAAUCUAAUCAAGUUGGUAGAUCAUACUUCAAUUACAAUAGUUGUAAAAUAACCUUGUCUAAAUUAAUAUUCAAUCAAUUUUAUUAAGACACCUUAAAAACGUUUCUCAUUACCAUCUUUUUUUACAAUUUUGCAAAAUCAAUUCUAGAAGAAGCUGACUCUUAAAAGUGAGUGUAGUUUCCAGUGAUAGUAAACACAAUAUUGAUAACACAUCAUGUACUAACAAUGAAUUUUAGGGCGAUGGGUUUAAUAUAUUUGUAAUAAACAAUAUAAAUGGUUGCAUGUCAUUAGCUAGGUUAAACUAUACCAAAUACUAUUAGAGUUUGGUUCCAUUUUUACUAUACUUUCUAACUUCAAAAAAAUUAUUACGAUACUUUUAAACUUUUAGGCUUCAUUUGAUAUUGUUUAUAUUUUUUGUCUUUUAAAAAACAUACAUAUUUAAUAUCUAUUUUCAUUUUUCGUUUUCAAAAUUUAUAGAAAAUUUCUCAAAUUUAGACAAAAAUAAAGAAAUCACGUGAGAAAUAGUUUCUCCCUAUUCUCAUUUUAUUUAAAUUUAUAUCCAUUAUACUUUAAAAUAUCUAAUUGGCUUAUUUGUGAAGAGACGUGUCUAUAUUCAUUAUUUGUCUAAUAGUCUUAGUUCAAUUCUCAAUAUUAAUGAUUUUUUUUAUUUAUUUCUUCAAACAAUUCUCAAUAAAUAAUUUAAUUAAAGAAUGAGAACAUAAUGAACAAGAAACAGAAAACGAAAACGUUAUGAAACGAGUUAUAAAUAAACCGUUUCUAAAAUAUCUUUAGUUUUUUUAAAAAAAAAUAUUUUCAUUGAUGUAAAUGGUUGAAAUUAACGUGACAAUAAUGUGUAAAAGUUGAAAGAUUUAAGCCACAUCAAUUCUCAUUCAUUGAUUUUUAUUAACACCAUUUUGUUGAUAUAUAUAUAUAUGAUGAUGAAAACCACUAAUUCUCAUUCAUUUUCCCAACUCAAAUGAUAUAUAUUGCUGUUUACAUCAGUUAUAUAAUAUAUAUUAUUGGCACAAUCAAUUUUUAUAUAUUAGGUGUCAUGUCAAAUCUACUUGCACAGUUAUUUAAUCUUAUAAAAUUGUAAAUAAUGCAGCAUGUGCCUUCUAAUUAAUUUUACACAUCAACUACCUUCACGAUUUACACCAACUUAUCAUUUCAAAAUAACUAAGGAUCCACAUUUUAGAACAAUUCCAAAAUUAAUUUUAAGCAUAUCAAAAUUUAGAGAUAUAAAAUUGAAACAAAUUAACAUAACCUUUUUGGGUUAGUAUGUAAAAUUAAACCUACAAAGUGUUGAUUAAUUUAUUUGAAAACUUUUUGUUUCUUCUCUCCCUAUUAUACAUUCCGAUCGGAUAUCAGGUUUCAAAUUAUAUUGUUAUAAAUAUCACAUGUUUUAAAUUAAUUCUUCUAGAACUAUGUUAAUUAUUUUCUCUAACCUUUCAACUACUCACUAAACAUAUAUAUAUGGGUUUCAAUUUUGAAAUCAAUUACUUAUUAUAACUUUUCAACUACUCACUAAACAUAUAUAUUGGUUUCAAUUUUGAAAUCAAUUACUUAUCAUCUUUUGUUUAAGAUAACGUCUCUCUCGAUUUACAAGGUGGAUUCAAUUCUUUCUAAAUAAAUAUUUGGUUUAGUUCAAAAUUUUAUUUGCUUGAAACAAUAGACACCUAAAAUAACAAUAUUUUUUUCGAUUUAUCAUUUGAAACAGAUCUAACUAACUUAGAAUUAAUGAAUUUUAAUUUCAUAUAAAAAUAUGAAUGAACUCAUGUUUAAUAGGAUUGUGAGUAUGUCAUAUUUUUAAUGUGAAGUUAUUCAUUCUGAAAUGGGUGUAAUGCAAACAAAAGAGGUUCGUACAACGUUAUCAAUUUAUUUAUUUUGAUUGAAUGACAAGCAAAUAUAAAUCCAAAUUUAAAAAACAAAAACAGUCUAUGCUCCCAUUGAAAUUGCUUAUGAGAAUGGAAUGGAUCGGAAUUAGUAACUUAAAAUUCGGUUCAAGCUUCCCCCACGGCCCCCACCUAAUUAAAAAAAAAAAGUGAAAGAAAAGGAUAAAUUCAAUGAAAUGUUUACCACGACUUGAAUCAUGAAAAAUACCAAUUAAAAUGCUUGAACACAGAACUAUUUUGAACUACAUUUUUUAUAUAUACCAUUUCAAAUAAUUGAUUCAACUUAAUUAAAAGCUUAAACUUACCUAUAAAAACUAAUUUAUACAAUAUUUUUAAUAUUAUAAAAUUGACAAAUUACUUAUCCCAGGACAAAAUAAAUGAUAUUUUUAAUAUAAAGUAUAAGUAGUUUAUAUAUAUUUUUUUAAUUUUUUUGCAAAUCCAUCGAUAGAAUUUAGAUCCCUCUCUUAAUUUCUAUAAUUUUAAUUGUUUGACUUUAGUCUAUGAAUUUUUAUAAAAUAUAUUUAAAACGGAAGUUAGAAGAUCUUAGAAAAAUUAAUAUAUUUUUGUUAUAUUUGAAAAUAUUUUCAAAUUUUCUUCCGUAAUAUUUGUUAAAUUAUCUGUGAGUAAAUAUUAAAUUAGUUUUUAGCUAUUAAUUUAGGGUUUUGAGUCCGUCCAUAAUUAAUUAAAUUAACCUCUAUUAAUUGAUAUUAAUUCAUGUUGUGGAUAUGUCAUUUGUCACUUCUUGGUCAACAUCAAAUGAUUGAUCCCAACCUUAAGUUGCACAAAAUAAUAUUUAUUAACAUUAAUAUUAAUAACCACAACUUAUUUUUCUGCUUUACAUUUUUAUCACUUAUUUUCUAAAAUUAACUAACUCAAUUUUCAAACUUAUUUAUGGGUAGCGGUAUGCUUUCACAAUAAUCAACAAAUAAAUUAAUAUUCAAUAAAUUUUAAUUUUAAAGCAAUAUUGAACGACUUAUUGUAUUUCAUAAAUUAACAAUAAACUAGUGUAAUUUGGUUACUGAAUCUAGGAACCUUAUUAGUUUAAUUAUUUCUAUAUUAAUAAUUAAGUUAUAAUAUUUUAUUUAUUAAAAAAAUUAUAUGAUUAAUUUCAACCAAUUCAAAAAAAAUUGCAACAAAAUUUGUUAUAAAAAUUGAAUCAGCCUGGAUGUUUCAUUUGGUUGGUUGGGUGGAUUACUAAUACUACCCAUUAUGCUUCGAAUUUUUUGAUUCAAGAUUUUUCAUCCAACUUUUACGUUGUGUUUUCCAAAAUUUAAUGAGUGUGAUGAUUUAAACAAAUUUCUUAAGUGCAUAAACAUUAUAAUUAAACAUCAAAAUAUUAUUGAAGUCUAAAUUUUCUUCACACAUAAUUGUGUUUGAUAUUUUAUUUCUUUCUUUAUUCUUUUUCAAUUUCCCUUAUUAUAUUAACACUCCUUUUCUAAGUUGAAUUUAGAAAACACUCUUGAAAUGUUAUGGUCUAUUCAGAACGAAUCGUCUUUUAAAAGAAACAAAAUACUAAAUUCUGUCGAUCCUAAUACCCAAUAAUGUUUGAAAAUUUUGAUUGCAUUUUCUAUGAAAGUCAAUUACAGAACUAAAAUGUCCCCAUCAGAAAACAAAAAUGAUCGCAAUAAGGGUAAUUGGUAAAGCCACGUGGUAUUGAAAUUAAGAACUACUCUCUUUAUAUUUAUGUGGCGGUUCUCCCAAAUAUGUUCUCUCUUUUGAAAUUAAACCCCAAUUCCCAUCAAUUUGGAUUCAAUUUUGAAAGUUGCGUAAGAAAUUGAAAUUAACAAUUGUAAUUCAAAAUACAAUAUAUCCCAACGACGGUCAUGUCAAUCAAACCACUGGGCUGGGGGAUUGAUUUUUAAAAUGGUAUAUAUUGUGGUAUGUCUACAGAUUCAUCAAAUCCUUCUGAACACCCUAUAUAUAAUGUUAUUUAAUUAACUACCAAAUUUUCAAGUUAGAAAGAAGGGUGAAGUUCAAAGUAUAUAAGAUUCAUCUCGAAUAAUUUGAUCUGUGUACAUCUAAACUAAUUUGAUUAGUGACUGAUUUUUUCUUAACUUUAUUAUUAUUUAUUUCGUGUGUAAAGGAUAAGAUUGGAUUAAAACACAGCUAAGUAUUAACUAAAAUAUAGGGUGAAAUUAUUUGAUCCACGUCAACUUUUUCAUUAUCUAUUUAAAUCUCCAUUUUUUCACUGUUUAUUCCAAGCAAUCAACAUCAUUAUUAUAUUUAAUUAAAUGACGUUAGAGUGAUGCCAAUCCACCUAAUCAUUUUAUAUUAAUUCAUAUCAUUAAAAUUCUAAUAAAGCCCACGUGACAACUUUAAAGUAGUCAUACAAAUUUCAAAAAUUCUUCCCAUAUAUUAGUUAUUAUAAUUAUACUCUUAAAUUUUAAAUUUUGUACAUCCAAUCUACUAUUAUUAUAAAUUUAAAAGUUUAAUCAAUCCCACAUAUUAGAUUGAAAAGUUAGAAUUUCAUUUGUUUAUUAUUGUUUUUGCUUACUUUUGGUUUGAGUAGUAAGAUUAUAUUCUACAUUUGGGUUAGAUCUUAUUUUAGUAGGAGUUCUCAAAUUUAGAAAUUAACUUUAUCUGCUAAAUCUCCUUAAUUAAAUGAUUAGGGUAGUUGGGAAAAAGAAGUAAGAUAUGCAGUUUUGUCAGAUUAAUAAUAAUGAAUCAGCUAAAAUGUAGAUUGAGGAAUUUUUUGCAAACAAAGUUUGUUUUUAUGUGAGUUUACAAUGAAACUUUUUUAAGUAGUUAUUUUUUAUGCUCAAUCCAAAUUGAAACAUCUCUUGCAUUCUUGGUUUGUAGAUCUUAAUCUUUUAAUUUUGGUAUAUAUACCAACUCCUUAGGUCUUAGGUUUGUUUGUUAUAGUUAUUAUUUUUCAUUGGUGCUUUUUACCUUAAGCCCAUUCUUUGACAUUUCUUAAUUAUUACUAUAUUUAGAUAACAUUUUAUUCAACAAUUAAAAUAUCUAUUGUAGCUGGUGAUGGUGAAAAUUUGGAAUAUAAUUAAUAUCAUGAUCGAUAUGACUAAAUUGACUCCACAAAUUUUUGUUGUUUGUUUCUGAAAUAUUUCAUUUAUCCAAUCUUUCCUUUGUGUGGUUAACAAUAUAUAUAAGAUUUUCGUACAAUUUAUUGAUUGGCAAAAUAUUAAGUAAUGCACAAUUCAACAAAAAUAUACAUAAAUAUUAGGUAAGUGGUUAAAUAUAUUAGAGUUAAAAUAAAAACAUUAUUUUUUUAAUUACUAAUUAAAAAUAAAAACUAUAUUUUACUCCAAAUUAGUAUUUGAAAUUGAAUAGGUACAUUUAAAGAAAUUUAAAAACAAUAAACAUUUAGAAAAGGAAAAAUAAUAUUUAAGUAAGUAAAAGCUUGAAAUGAAAGUAAGUAAUAAUCAGAUGAAAUAUAUAAAAUAAUCAAAGUUUAACCAAACCAUUUUGAUGGAAUGAAGGAUAGAUGUAUAAUUUGGUUAUUAUAUUUUUUUUUAUCAAUUUCAUCUGAAAUAUUUAAUUAAUCUAUAUUACUGGAUGAGCUUAUAGGGAAAUAGAAAUUUAUGAAUUAACUACGGACAUGUAUUUGCUCAUGUGGGUGUUUACGUGGAUGAAAUUUGAGGGACUGGGUCACUGUUCGGCGUAGAUGAGUAUGCCCGAGCCCCACCCAACCAAACAACAACAGCUCACAUGGUAAGGGGUCGUAGUAUCACAUCAACAUAAUUUAUUUAAUUUAUAUUUACCCGUGGCAUUUAACUAUUUAUAUUCAUUUGUCAUUUCCAACUUUAUUAAUCCAGGACAACAAUAGAAGUAACUUUGACUUUCACUAUUACAACUUACCAUUAAUUAUAAUAUUAAUAUUUUAAUUUAAAUCCUCGUUGCUAUGAUAUUUACUCUUUUUCAUUUAUAUCCCUUCUUACUCUUUGUUAAUUCUUUUUAUUAUUUCUACAUGAACAAGAUUAACAUAUAUCAAUUACUAUAAUGUCAUAGACGGAUUAUACUAAACAACUCAUUUUCCUUAAACACCCUCUUAAAAAAAGAUUUCUUCGUUAGGAAGUUUACGUAGUUUGUUUUACAUCAAUUCUAGUAGAUUAGGUUCAAUCAAGAUAACGUUUCACUGUAUUUUUCAACUAUUCUUUUGAGUAUCUUGGUAGUCUCAAAAAUGAUAUAUGGCCUUUAAAUCAUAUUAUAUUUGUUCUUUAUUGUGAUCAAGGUUGUUGUUGUUGGAAUUUGAAUGGUUAUGAGUUGGGUGUUAAAUUUUUGUGUAUUGUAAAUGUUAUUUAAUUGAGUUGGUCAAAAUUAAUUACACUAACGUGACCUAUUGUAUAUAUUAUGAGUACACGAAGAUUGCAUACAAUAUAAUGUGUGAUCUUCAAUGAGCCAUGUCGCCACCAUUUAUAUCAACUAUUUAGCCCCACUAACGUGACCUAUUGUAUAUAUUCUGAGUACACGAAGAUUGCAUACAAUAUAAUGUGUGAUCUUCAAUGAGCCAUGUCGCCACCAUUUAUAUCAACUAUUUAGCACCCUCCCCACCCCCCUCCUUUUAUCUCCUAACUUUUCCUAAAAUACGAAUACAAUACAUUAUUUUAAACUAAUAAAAAAAGCAUUAAAUAUAAUGUUAAUUAGUAUAAUUAAUAAUAUUAAAUAUGGAAAUAAUCCAUCUAAAACCCCUAAGCUCGCUUUAAAUCUCCAACAUUCAUAAUCUAUAUCAAUCACCACAUUUAAUAGAUUUCUUAAUUUAAAUAAAAUAAACUGAAACUAUUUACUAACUAUAACAAAAUUGUUAUUGUUAUGUUGUUAAUAAAUUUUAAAUACUUUCAAUUUUUCUGUUUGCUGUUUAGGAUAAUUAGGAUAAUUCUUCUUAAAUUAAAUUUAUAAACAGUGUAUUUUUUAAAACAAAACAAUAUAAAUUCUCAAUUAAGUUUUCAUUUUAAUAUUGUUUGAUAUAUAUCACUAAAAUGAAAUUAUAAAUUCAUAUAUCCCAGUACAGGUAUUUUUCCAACCAAUAAUAACAAUAGUAAAAGAAGAAAAAAAAGUUGGAAGUACUUUUCAAAUUUAUAUUAUUGCACAGUGCUGUGUGGGAAAGAUACUAUAAAGAAAGACUUUUUUUUAGGAUUGUAGGUAGAACAGUCGAAUUGUAAAUCGAAUAAAAUAUCUUAGAAAAUGAAAGAUGACAUUAAAAUUUAAAAAUUUGCUAAUAAUAAUUAUUGUAAUAAAGAAUAAAACUUAAUAUUUGCCCCCACUCUCCAUCUAUAAAAACCCACUGAAAUGAAUCCACUUGAACCUUAGCAAUAAACACAAUCUCUCAGUUACCAUAAUAAUGGAUUCUCAAUCUCUUCUUCAACCUCUCAAUAUGGCAGUCUUUUUCACUCUCCCUUUCUUGGUUCUGCUGACACUUCUGAUCUUCCGUCGUCUCCGGCCAAAACUACCCUUUCCACCUGGCCCAAAAGGCCUCCCCUUCAUCGGUAAUAUGCUCAUGUUAGACCAGCUCACUCACCGUGGUCUCGCCAAACUUGCCGCACGCUACGGCGGAAUCUUCUAUAUGCGCAUGGGCUUUCUUAACAUGUUCACUGUCGCCGAUCCUGACAUCGCUCGCCAAGUUCUUCAGGUUACUUCAUCUUAAAUAAUAAUUUAAUUUGUAUGGUGCUCAAAUUUUUAAUAUCGAUAUUAUAAUUAUAAAUAAAUUUAAUAAGAAUAAAAAACAAUAUUUUUUCAAGGAUGAUAAAGAAAAUUAAACUAUUUACACCCACACCCACACACACGAAAAUGACAAAAUUUGGUUAUGGUUGAUGAAGAUUUAAAUAUCUAAAUUAUGGGAGCCUUUACUCAUUUUUCAUGUGAAAGCUUUUCUUUAAGAAAAUUUAAGUAUGAUACUAAUGCUUUUAUUUGCACUGUGAACUAGGUCCAUGAUAGUAUUUGUUCUAAUCGUCCGGCCACUAUCGCCAUAUCUUACUUAACCUACAGUCGUGCCGAUAUGGCUUUUGCUAACUACGGCCCAUUCUGGCGACAAAUGCGUAAGAUUUGCGUCAUGAAAUUAUUCAGCCGAAAGCGAGCUGAGUCAUGGCAAUCGGUCCGAGAUGUGGUAGACAACACUGUUAAAAAAGUCGCUGUCCAAACAGGGACCGCUGUGAAUGUUGGGGAGCUAGUGUUUGAACUAACGAGAGAUAUUAUUUAUAGAGCUGCGUUUGGGACGAGCACAUUACAGGGUCAAGACGAGUUUAUAAGUAUCUUGCAGGAAUUCUCUAAGCUUUUUGGAGCUUUCAAUAUCGCUGAUUUCAUUCCGGGUCUUAGAUGGAUUGACCCUCAAGGUUUGAACAAGAGGCUCAUUGAGGCUCGUCAAUCCCUCGACAAAUUCAUCGAUUCCAUAAUCGACGAACACAUAAUGAAAAAAAGGAACGCUUCUUCAAAAUUAUCAAAUUACAAGCUCGAAACUGAGAGUGAUAUGGUAGAUGAGUUACUGGCUUUUUACAGUGAUGAUUCAUCGAUAAUAAAUGAAUCAAAUGAUAUACAAAACAACAUCAAACUCAACCGUGACAACAUCAAAGGCAUCAUCAUGGUAAUUAUAAUUAGGUCAAUGUUAAAUAUAUGAACCUUAAUAAAUCGUAGAGAUCAUCGUCUAACAAUGUGCAAAAUUUCUUCAUCUAGAAAAAAAAUACAUGAUACUUUUUUUGCGCAAUAAAUAGCAUGGCAUUUAAGUUUUACACAACCCUUUCAUUAUAAAUGUCUUAUUUCCUACACCUGUAUUUUCAAAGUUUUAAUUAGGUGGAGUCCACUCCUCUCUUUCUACUCAAAUAAUAAUAAGAAUAUAAUAAACUGUAAAAUUUACAAAGUUAAACUUUUUCUUUUUAUAUUUUGUAGUUUUAUCAUUUAUAAUACUAUAUAUCAUAUAAAAUUUUGAUUGGUUACUUGUUUUGAGUUUAUGUAUUGCACUCUUUUUUUCCAAAUAAAACAAAAUGGACUAGAAUAUUUAUAAAUAUAACCAAAAGUCAUUAAUAAAUAUCAAAAUAAACUCCCAUAUUUAUAAUUGAUAAAUGUAUUUAUUACACUAUAUAAUUCAUAUAUUAAGAAAAUUUACUAUAUUGUAAACUUUUUUUUUUCUUGAAGGAUUAUUAUUUAAAAUAAAGUUUCAUAAUUAUUUAUAUAUACACACUUUUUUCUCAGCAGUUUGUAAACUUUAUUUUGUUUAAACGUCACGUGUCUGUUUUGUGUAGGGCUACGUUUUUGUACUCAUCCUUUUUUUUAGUUUUACAACAUGUGAGGAUCGGAGUAAACAAUAUUUAGGUGGUGAAAUGGAUUUAUUCUUUUUGUAGCUGAUUCCAAUUUUAAAGAAAAUAGUGAGACAGAGCUGAGAUAUAGUAUUUUUCUUAAUCUGGUGUGAAUAUAUCAGUUUUAAUUUGUGUUUGAAAUUAUAAGGAUGUUAUGUUUGGUGGAACGGAGACGGUAGCGUCGGCGAUAGAGUGGGCCAUGUCGGAGCUAAUGAGAAGCCCAGAAGAUUUAAAGAAAGCACAGCAAGAACUCUCCCAAGUCGUUGGUCUCCAACGACGUGUCGAAGAAACCGACCUCGACAACUUGACUUUCUUAAAGUGCUGUCUCAAGGAGACCAUCCGGCUGCACCCGCCGAUCCCACUCCUCCUCCACGAGGCAGCGGAGGACGCGGUCAUCGCCGGCUACUUCAUUCCGGCAAAAUCUCGAAUCAUGGUGAACGCGUGGGCCAUCGGGAGGGAUCCGGCCUCAUGGGACGACGCCGAGACAUUCCGGCCGGCCAGGUUUCUAGAAGAAGGAGUCCCAGAUUUCAAAGGGAACAACUUCGAGUUCAUUCCGUUCGGAUCGGGAAGGCGGUCUUGCCCAGGGAUGCAGCUGGGUCUAUACGGACUUGAGAUUGCGGUGGCCCACUUGUUGCACUGUUUCGAUUGGGAAUUGCCGGAUGGGAUGAAGCCAAGCGAAAUGGACAUGAGCGACGUCUUCGGGUUGACAGCUCCGAGAGCGACCCGGCUUGUGGCUGUGCCCACAAAACGGGUUUUGUGUCCACUUCUGUGAUGGAUAUAAUUUGAAAAUGGUAUCUUUUAUUUUCAAUUACCAAGUUUACAAAAAGAAGAAGAAACAAAGAAAGCAGAGCUGAAAAUCUAGGUGGGUUUGAUGAUUGUGCAUAUAUAUAUGGAUGUAAAAAAAAGUCCAUCUCAAUAAUUUUUUCUCUCAUUUUAAUGAAACAGUAAUUGUAUUUUGCGUUUAUGGACCUACGUCUUCUACCUUUGAAUAAAUUGAAAAGGGUUUGAUUCCAUGAAAUUUCAAGGGUUUUUUCUUCCUCCACUUCCCAACAUGUGUGCCAAAGUUAGAAAAAGUUAUUUUUUUUAUUUUGGUAUAUGUGCUAUAAAAACUUUAAUCCAUUAAUUACAUUGAAAAAGUUGAAAAGGAUAUGUAACACAUUAAAUUAUCAGUUUAAUUAACGGCUAAAGAAGCCUAACAUGUUUAGAAAAUAACAAUUAAUGUUUCCGCUUAAAUUUUAGAGUCCUAUAUCAAUUAAAAUUCUAAAAUAAUGUCAUAAGUAUAUUAACUUAUACCAAUCAUUAAAAUCCUGUUUCAAAACUGUUAAUAGUAUAUAGCUUUUACACUGUAAAAUACUUCUUCAAAUGCAAUCAUUAAUCUAAAUUAGAGAAAAAUACAUAAAUCAAAUGGAUAAAUAUAUAUUUUUCUUUCUUACAUGUUACAGAAAAAAAAAAAAAAAGAGCCGUAUUGUUUAUUAGCAAGUUUUUGUUUUCAAACUUUUUUAAUUAAGCAGAUGAUCAGAUACUCUAUUGAGAUUAUUAUAAUAUUUGAGGGCUCAACAUCCACAUCAUAUUUUUAAGGACAAUUUUUGCAAUUUGUCUUAAUUUUAAAAGCGUUUUUUUAAAAUAAUAUAACUAUGUAUUUAAAAUAAAAAAUAUAAACCAAAGAGAAAAAGUUUAGAAAACAGACUUAUAAACCAUACGUGUACGUCAUAUAUAAAGUUGGUAUAGUACAUUGCUUGCAAAUGUAAAAGUUGAAUACAUAUCAUCAAAUUAAGUGUUAGUUCUAUAAAUUUGAAAGAAAAAUAUAUUUUGUACAAAGCUUCAUUCAACCAAGAGAUAUUUUCAAAAUAUGUUUAAAAACACCGACAAACAUAGUGAUAGAUGAUAAAACUUCUGUGAAUCCUUUUCUUCACAAGAUUAUCAAAUAUAUCUAUGAAAAAAAAUCUGAGAAUAGAUGAUAUAAAUGGAGAAAGUAUGAUUGGAUGAUUUUUAUCAUUCCCCACCACAGACAGAGACACAAAUAAAAGCAAAUUUAUCCAAAUAUGUUGAAAAAGUAGACAACAAGGCACUAAUUGAGUUGGAUGUGAUUGUGAAGCAGACGUGUAGGAAAUGCCGAUUUCCCCACUUCAUGUUGAAGCAGUGUUAUAUUGGAAAGCUCAAUCUUUGUAUUACUCCAUUGGAAACAAAAGACAAAAUACACAAACCCACAAUAUAACAUAUAUAAUUACCUUACGUCCUCAUACUGUUUCUUGUAUUAUUCAUUAAAAAGUGUCUCCCAGAUGAGCUUAGCUGACCACCAUACAGAAGAAAUGAAACCUUCGACGAUGUUAUAUCUAAAAGUUGAUUCAAAGAAAACCUUGGAGGUUCAUUCACUCAACAGAAAUAUUAAUUAAUAACAUCGUGCAACUAAAAGAUUCCAAAAACUGUCGUAUGAAAUCCCAAGAACAAAAUCUAAACUUAUCCUAUUUUCUCCCAUUUUUUACUCAGGGUUUUUAUAUUUCGUUAAAAAUAUUUGAUUUUGGAAAAUUUACCAUUUUAAAUAGUUAUCUAAAAAUCCACUUUUUCAAAACUAUUUCAUUUUUUGCUUUGAAAAUGUGACGAGAAAACAGUCGUAAAAGAAAACAUAGAGCGUAUAAAAACAUAAACCAAUAGGUAUGAGUAAUAAUAUUUGUAAAUAAUGACUUAGUCUGACCUUAAUUUCAAUUUUACGAGAAGAACAAAUUAAUUAGAAUAUAAUAAGAUUAGGUUGAAGAGAUGAAGUAGCAAUGUAAGGUUAGCAUGUUAUUUUCACAAGUUGUUGAUCAAAUCAUUGAAAAUGUGGUGUUGAGUUCAAUUCAACAGAUUUCAUUACAUUUUCAUUUUUUUGUUUAGAUUAUUACUUUUUUUCAUAAUAAGAUAAAAACAUUUCAAACUUGAACCAUACACUAAAAAACGAAAACAAAACAAAAAAUUAUACUAAAAAUUAUUUCUAUCAUAUACAGAUUUGUUAAUAUGUGAUUUUACCAUGUUGAAUUUGAUUUGAUACUUUGUAAUUUUAUGAGGUUGAAUUUGAUUUAUUGUAACAUAUACCAUCAAACAUUAGGAACAAUGCCCUCACUUUACAUGUUGGAAACAUAAAAGUAACUAUGGAGAAUUAGACAUCUAUGGCUUAAUCCAUUGAACUAUACUUUAAUCAUGAAAUAUAUAUUGUGUUUUUUAAUUUUUUUAAUAAUAUGAUAUUAUGAUUGCAUUAAAAGUUUUAAAUGUUUUGAUUUAUUUUAUAAUAUAUGUUUCUAUUCUAGUUGAAAAAAGUUUAUAUACCUCUAAAGUAAAAAAAAAAAAAAAUUACUUAAUACUAGAUGAAUGAUAGAGUAAACUUUUUUAUAAUUAAAAUAUUAUGUCAUUAGUAUAUGAGGUAUACAAUUCAAACAUUUUUUUAGAUAAACAAACAAGCUUAAUUGAUAAGUAAAAAAAGAAUAAUAAUAAUAAAGAAACAAUUAUAAUUGUUAGCAAUUUUAUAGAUAAUAUCAACCGUAUAUCAACGUUUUUAAAAAACUAAAAACACUACUAAUAUAAUAAAAUUUUGUAAUGAUAGAUUUCUAUUGCUGAUAGAGUCUUAAGGGGUGUUUGAGACAAAUAAUGAGUUGUUAUAGUCCUAGUUAUUAGUUUGAUUAUAAUAUUUUGUGUGUUGGGGUAUGAAUUAUUUUAGUUUGGAUUAUAACCGUGUGUUUAGUGGGUAGACUAUUUCAGUUUGAUAAGAAAAUAGUAAAUACUUGUAGCUAAUUGGAUAUAUUUUAAAACAGUAUUUACUAUAGUAAGAGGCGAUUAUUAUAGUCAUAUAUAAUAUUUGUCCCAGCCUUAUGGUCUGUCGGUGACAAAUAUUUGAACAAUAGUCUAUUGGUAAUAAACUCUAACUAAUUUUACCAUGUUUACACUUUUUUUUAAUAUUGGGGAUAUACAAAUCUUUUGAAUAUAAUGUUUAUAUUUGCAACGGUUAAAAAAUACUUUUAAAAAUGUUAUAAUACAAAAAAAUCACCGACAAUAAUAGACAUAAGCAUCUUGAAGGAAGAUUGUCAAUCCACAAUUACUUUAAAGGAUACACCUGCUUAUUUAAAAACGAACAAAUUUAAAUGGAUAUAGAGUAACUAUCAAUAUUUAAUUCAACUCAAUUAUUAUUAUUAUGUCUAACUUAACUAUCAUAAUUAGUUUUAAACAUAUAUAUAUAUAUAUUAAGCUCUAAGAAAUUAACCUUUUAAUCUUUAAUAUAAUUAAAGUAUUAAACUAGUUGGAAUGUGAUGCACACUCAAUAUGAAUGAAGCUGUCUUUUUAUGAAUGGAUAUGGACAUUCGAGCUUAAUGAUUUAAAUUUCAAUCAGUCUUCAUAUUGUUGAUGAUUUAUAAAAAUAAUAAAAUACUUAAGAGGCAUUUUAAAAUUAAAUAUUUAUCUUUGGUUUGUGUCCAAAGAGAAAAGGAGAAUAUGCAAAUGUUGAAAUUUUGUGUGACUUGUAGCCAUUCCACCUUCACACUCUAUCCCUUCAAUUUGAUAUAUCAAAUGUGGAUAUUGGAUUUUUCUUUUUUUUUGUCCUUAAGCCCAAUAUUUUUGUUAUUAAUUUAACAAUAAAACAAAUAACAUUUUAAAAAACAGCCAAAUAUUAAAAUUAUGUACAACAUAAUCAUUAAUUUUUUUUACUAUAAUUUGUAAAUAAUUUAUUUUUUUUGGAAAAGGAUAGAAAAUAGAUCAUUUUAAUAAAUAUUUACAAAUUUUGUGGUUAUUUGUUUUUCUAUCAAUAACAAUUUCCCUUAAUAAAAUUAUAUAUUUAUUAUAAUUAUUUUUAAAAAUACAAAUUUUACAUUUUUAGUAAUUUAACAUUAUUUUUAAAAUCACUUUUAGAAUUAAACACAAUAAUUCAAAACCACCUUUUAAAAAUUUGAAAACCACUUGUUUUUUUAACUAAGCACAUGUUUGAUUGUCUAAAAAUUGUAUCUAUGUUUCUUUUUCUAAAAUGAGUGUUCAAACUAUGGCCCAAAGCAUAGCUUAAAUAAUAAACAUUUUUUAACCAUGUCUCAUUUCAAAUUUUCAAUAAUAUUCUACUCAAAGUUGCUAGUUGGGCCGAGGCCCAAUGAGUUUG
rnacentral:lncRNA from 1 species